AGCGGGUUGUCUCGUUAUCUAUUUGCAAAAGCCAAAGGUCAGGAAUCUAUUGUUUCUAGGCGAAUAUAUCGCGAGACUCUAAAGAUAACUGAAAUUUACUUAGACAAGUUGCAAGUAUAGAUAAGGAACACAACAACCCACAAAUCUAAAGUCUGCUUGAAAACAGCGACUUACCGACAAAAUGAAAGUAUGUCUAGUCAUACAACAACA
rnacentral:lncRNA from 1 species